AAGUCUUCCCAUAUGGACGAAGAGAUAGGUAAAUGUUGAAGUAGGCCUGUGGGUUUCUUGGCUUCAACCUUUACCAAUCCCUUCGUCCAUAUGGGAAGACUUGUCUCUCGACUUC
rnacentral:pre_miRNA from 1 species